rnacentral:rRNA from 1 species
AGCGAACGCUGGCGGCAGGCUUAACACAUGCAAGUCGAACGGGCUUCUUCGGAAGUCAGUGGCAGACGGGUGAGUAACACGUGGGAACGUGCCCUUCGGUUCGGAAUAACUCAGGGAAACUUGAGCUAAUACCGGAUACGCCCUUUUGGGGAAAGGUUUACUGCCGAAGGAUCGGCCCGCGUCUGAUUAGCUUGUUGGUGGGGUAACGGCCUACCAAGGCGACGAUCAGUAGCUGGUCUGAGAGGAUGAUCAGCCACCCUGGGACUGAGACACGGCCCAGACUCCUACGGGAGGCAGCAGUGGGGAAUAUUGGACAAUGGGCGCAAGCCUGAUCCAGCCAUGCCGCGUGAGUGAUGAAGGCCUUAGGGUUGUAAAGCUCUUUUGUCCGGGACGAUAAUGACGGUACCGGAAGAAUAAGCCCCGGCUAACUUCGUG